rnacentral:lncRNA from 1 species
ACUAAAGUCUUGUUGUCAGCGUACCAUGAGCCUGGCAUGGAGAGAGCUGCUAAGAAUAAAGCACAGAGUGCCACGGUGUGGAUGGACCCAGAGGACACUGUGUGCAGUGACAGAAGACAGACACAGAAGGUAUGUCCUGUGUGACUCCACUCACAGGGGGUCCCUAGAGGAAUCCCAUCCAGAGCACUGGUGGGAUCCAGUGCUGGGACAAAGAGCGGGGAGUCAGUGUUUCAUGGGGACAGAGUCUCAGUUUGGGGAGAUGGAAAGUUCUGGAGACAGAUGGUGGGAGUGGCUGCAUGACAGUGUGAGUGUUGCCUGAUGCUGCUGAACUGUGCCCUUAAGAGUGGUUAAAAUGGUACAUUUAAUUUUAUGUAUAUCUCACCACAACUAAAAAAUUUUAAAUUUCUUUUUUAAAUGUUUAUUUUGAGAGAGAGACAGAGUGUGAGUGGGGGAGGAGCAGAGAGAGAAGGAGACUGAAAACCCCAAACAGGCUCUGCAUUGACAGCUCAAACGAGGGGCAAAACCCCACAAACUGUGAGGUCAUGACCCGAGCCAAAGAGUCAGAUGCUCACCUGAGCCACCCAGGCGCCCCCCCCCCAAAUUUUCAUUAAUGGAGUAUAAAACGAACCCUAGGUCCUCACAGUUCACAGUCUAGUGAGAGAGAGACAAAUAUAAAUGAAUUAAUAGCACACCACGAUGGACAGAUUUCUAAGAUGGUUCCACAUGAUCUCGACAUCCUAGUACCCAUGCCUUUGUGCGAUUCCCUCCUUGACUCUGGGCUGCCCCUGGGGACUUGAUUCUAACAAACAGAAUAUGGCAGAGGAAUAGGAUGUCAUUUCCCUGACUGGGUUACAAAACACCGACUUCUGUCCUCCUAGCACAACUCCAUUGCCUUUUCAGCUUGUAUGCCUUGACGAAGCAAGCUGAGAUGCUGGAGAGGCCCACACUGCAAGGGGCUGAGGAUGACCGCCAGCCAACAGUCAGCAGACCUUCAGUGCAAGAGCCUGUUAAAUUACUGGAUCCUGCCAACAUCAUGAAUGAUCAUGGAAGGGGGUCCUGUCUCAGUCAUGCCUUCCGAUGACCGCUGCUCAGUGGGCACCUUGAUUAUAGACUUUGAGAGACCCUGAAGCUGAGGGCCCAUCUAAGCUGCACCUGGAUUCCUAAUCCACAAAAACUAUGGGAUAACAAAUGUUGCUG